AGAGUUUGAUCCUGGCUCAGGACGAACGCUGGCGGCGUGCCUAAUACAUGCAAGUAGAACGCUGAAGAGAGGAGCUUGCUCUUCUUGGAUGAGUUGCGAACGGGUGAGUAACGCGUAGGUAACCUGCCUUGUAGCGGGGGAUAACUAUUGGAAACGAUAGCUAAUACCGCAUAACAAUGGGUGACACAUGUCAUUUAUUUGAAAGGGGCAAUUGCUCCACUACAAGAUGGACCUGCGUUGUAUUAGCUAGUAGGUGAGGUAACGGCUCACCUAGGCGACGAUACAUAGCCGACCUGAGAGGGUGAUCGGCCACACUGGGACUGAGACACGGCCCAGACUCCUACGGGAGGCAGCAGUAGGGAAUCUUCGGCAAUGGGGGCAACCCUGACCGAGCAACGCCGCGUGAGUGAAGAAGGUUUUCGGAUCGUAAAGCUCUGUUGUAAGUCAAGAACGAGUGUGAGAGUGGAAAAUUCACACUGUGACGGUAGCUUACCAGAAAGGGACGGCUAACUACGUGCCAGCAGCCGCGGUAAUACGUAGGUCCCGAGCGUUGUCCGGAUUUAUUGGGCGUAAAGCGAGCGCAGGCGGUUUGAUAAGUCUGAAGUUAAAGGCUGUGGCUCAACCAUAGUUCGCUUUGGAAACUGUCAAACUUGAGUGCAGAAGGGGAGAGUGGAAUUCCAUGUGUAGCGGUGAAAUGCGUAGAUAUAUGGAGGAACACCGGUGGCGAAAGCGGCUCUCUGGUCUGUAACUGACGCUGAGGCUCGAAAGCGUGGGGAGCGAACAGGAUUAGAUACCCUGGUAGUCCACGCCGUAAACGAUGAGUGCUAGGUGUUGGAUCCUUUCCGGGAUUCAGUGCCGCAGCUAACGCAUUAAGCACUCCGCCUGGGGAGUACGACCGCAAGGUUGAAACUCAAAGGAAUUGACGGGGGCCCGCACAAGCGGUGGAGCAUGUGGUUUAAUUCGAAGCAACGCGAAGAACCUUACCAGGUCUUGACAUCCCGAUGCUAUUUCUAGAGAUAGAAAGUUACUUCGGUACAUCGGUGACAGGUGGUGCAUGGUUGUCGUCAGCUCGUGUCGUGAGAUGUUGGGUUAAGUCCCGCAACGAGCGCAACCCCUAUUGUUAGUUGCCAUCAUUCAGUUGGGCACUCUAGCGAGACUGCCGGUAAUAAACCGGAGGAAGGUGGGGAUGACGUCAAAUCAUCAUGCCCCUUAUGACCU
rnacentral:rRNA from 1 species